rnacentral:rRNA from 1 species
UACGGAGGGUGCAACCGUUGCUCGGAAUUAUUGGGCGUAAAGCGCACGUAGGCGGUUCGUUAAGUUGGAUGUGAAAGCCCUGGGCUCAACCCAGGAAGUGCAUACAAAACUGGCGAGCUUGAGUACAGAAGAGGGUCUCGGAAUUCCCGGUGUAGAGGUGAAAUUCGUAGAUAUCGGGAGGAACACCAGUGGCGAAGGCGGAGACCUGGGCUGAUACUGACGCUGAGGUGCGAAAGCGUGGGGAGCAAACAGG